rnacentral:lncRNA from 1 species
UGAUAAGCUAUUUAAAAACAAAAAUUGUUUGUUACAGUUUUUCAAACUAAAAAUGAAAAAUCCACUGAAGCAUCUUACAGGGAAAAGUAUCUUGCAUUGUCUGGAAAAACACUUAGAAUAGCUGUAGUACAAAGCCUUGAAUGCCUGCUAGAUGCAAAGUCUAUAAACAAACUCAUAGCACUUCUACUUUCUAACAAUACUGUAACUCAUGGAAUUGAAGAUCUCCUGUAAACGUGAAGAUUGAGUUAGUACCCAAUGAGUAGAGUAGUAUUUUUGUCUUAUACGUGAAUAACCUACACGCUGAGCUGGACUUGCUGUAUUUACAUUCAUCUAAUACUUUUUUGUAAUGGUAUAAAUGCAUAUAUUCAUAUAUACUGCAUAAGCAAAAGUAUUGUGGGGUUUUGGUUCUCAAUACAGUUUAAGAAUUUAAUCGGCCAGGCGCGGUGGUUCACACCUAUAAUCCCAGCACUUUGGGAGGCUGAGGCAGGUGGAUCACGAGGUCAAGAGAUUGAGACCAUCCUGGUCAACAAGGUGAAACCCCGUCUGUACUAAAAAUACAAAAAUUAGCUAGGCAUGGUGGUGGGCACCUGUAGUCCUACUUGGGAGGACUACUUGGAAGUCUGAGGCAGGAGAAUUGCUUGAACCCAGAAGGCGGAGGUUGCAGUGAGCCGAGAUUGUGCCAUUGCACUCCAGCCUGGGUAACAACAACAAAACUCCAUCUCAAAAAACAAACAAACAAAAAAUAAUAAUUUAAUCAGGCCCAGAAACAAAAAAAUAAAUGUAAGAACCAUGCCUCUAGCCCAUGGGACACAUAAGUGAGCAAAAUAAGUUGAAGCCCCUGCCCUCGUGGAGCUAAUUAUGUUCUCCUGGAAUCGUUUUAUUCCAGCAGAUGGUUUUAUUCUUCUAUUUCAGACUUCUGUCUGAUUCUUUCUAGAUUAUGUUGAAAUUAAAAUGAGAGAAGGAAAAAACAAUUACAGAUUGCUGCAUUCCCUUUAUCAUACUUCACUUUUACUUAACAUUUUAAAUUCCUACUUUUUUAACCAUUCUGAGAUUCUCUAAAGUUAUAUUUCCUGAAUUGCUAUGUAAAACUCUCUAUAAUUAGUACCAAUUAAUAUGAUAAUAUUUCAAAUUUGUCACCUUAUAAAUUUUGUGGCACAUCUUUCAAUUACUUCUUGUAAAAACAUUUAAAAGCAGGUAUUUUUCUCUUAACCAGUUAAAAUAUAGCAAUUAAUUUCAAAAUACUGUUUUUGAAUAAACAUUAGUGAAGUAUAUUUAUUUAGUUUAGAGGUUUUAUUUUCACAAUGCGGUACUUGCAACAAAUUUAGUUCUUAGAGUAGAAUUUUGGCAGGACAAUUCUAGAAAAUACUGAUCCUACGAAGCAGUAUUAUCAUUAUUAUUCAUCUGAAAUCUUGAUAAGUUUGCUUUUAUUCCCCUAAAUUUAUUUUAUAAGCAAUCAUUAGU